UGUUUUUUUGAUAUUAACCCUCUUGUUCUCAUGGUGAUAAGUGCUAAAAAGUAGUAAAUUUACACAUAUUAUUUUUAAGCACUUAUUGACUUGUUUUAUAAGUUAUUUGAAGUAAAAAUCCCAACUAUUUGUAAAUAUUAGUCUUCACUAACAAAUUAGUAUCUUAGCUAUUUUCACCUAUUUUUCCUCACUUUUGUAGGUUCUAUGAAUUUAUUGAGAAAAUGGAAGCAAGUACUUGGAGACUAAGAAAGCUUAUGAUUGGAUCCAAAACUUAAGAGGACAAUUUGUCCUCUUGUUUAAAGGCACAAGAUGAUUUUCUAUUGGACCAAAACAAAAAGAAACAGGCGGUGCUCAGUUUAAGUAGAAAAGGCUGGUUGUAUAGUCAAGUGGCACACAUGCUUCAAUACCAAAGCAGAGCUUUUUAGAAUUGAUUGGAUCAAAAAGAAACAAAAAGGGGAGGCGGUGGUGAAGUGAAAAAAACCUUGCGCUGAAGUUUUCUUCCAAAAGCCCCUAUAUAAGGCAUGCAAGACCAUUCCAUAUUAAUUUCACUCUUACAACAACACACAAAACUUCACGAGAGAGGGUGAAGGCAGAGGAGAUUGAGAGCUACCAAGAAGAGCAGAGGAAUCAUCUUUAUCAUCUUUCCAUCUCUUCUAUGUAUUGUAAGGGCCUUGAUACUUUAAACCCAGUAUUGAUCAUUGAUGACAGAUUUAAGCUGAUGCAGUGACGAAAUCCAUCCAUUUGUUUAGAUGUGUGUUUCUUUUGAAGCUAUAUAUAGGAUUAGACAGAUAAUUAUGAUGCUAUAUUUCAGCAAGGUAUCAUGACCAGUGUUGUCAUUUGUGGAUUGUG